UACGUAGGGGGCAAGCGUUGUCCGGAAUUACUGGGCGUAAAGCGAGUGUAGGCGGUUUGGUAAGUCGGAUGUGAAAGCCCCGGGCUCAACCCGGGAAGUGCACUCGAUACUACCAGGCUAGAGUAUCGGAGAGGUUGGUGGAAUUCUCGGUGUAGAGGUGAAAUUCGUAGAUAUCGAGAGGAACACCGGUGGCGAAGGCGGCCAACUGGACGAAUACUGACGCUGAGACUCGAAAGCGUGGGGAGCAAACAGG
rnacentral:rRNA from 1 species